rnacentral:rRNA from 1 species
UGCCAGCAGCCGCGGUAAUACGGAGGGUCCGAGCGUUAAUCGGAAUUACUGGGCGUAAAGCGUACGCAGGCGGUUAGUUAAGCUAGAUGUGAAAGCCCCGGGCUCAACCUGGGAACUGCAUUUAGAACUGGCUAGCUAGAGUGCAGCAGAGGAUAGUGGAAUUUCUAGUGUAGCGGUGAAAUGCGUAGAUAUUAGAAGGAACACCAGUGGCGAAGGCGACUGUCUGGGCUGACACUGACGCUCAUGUACGAAAGCGUGGGGAGCAAACAGGAUUAGAUA